AGACAGCCAACCUGUUCGGAAUUUCGAAAUUCAUAGUGAUGCCAAGCGAAAUGUCAUUUUUGGACCCCGUCUCACAAAUUAGCUCCAUUACAACGCUGGAACGAUUGAUCGAUCUUGGCUGUGAAAACCAUUUCAAGUGGUUUCAGCAGCCCAAAAACGCAAAAUACAAAAUACCCUUGUACUGAGCGAUACUCUCACUUGAGAAUAACCCUAGAGUCGUCGUUUGCUACACGAGUUGCCCAAAUCACUUAUGAAAAUCGCUUGAGAAACCCUUGAAAGCCGACGACGAUCAGAGUCGUUCAAAGUUCGUGUCAACAUCAUCAAUUUUGAUCAAUAUGUAUGGUCUAAUGCUCUCCCGCUCCAUCAAUAAAAACGCACAGUCGAGGACAGAAAAAUAGUCGUGAAUAGACGGAGCUCCUUUAAAUCAAUACAGUAAUUAUUUUCUGAGAGUAAAAGAUCAGUAUAUAAAUUACCGGGAUU
ensembl:ncRNA lncRNA:CR44682 long non-coding RNA:CR44682